rnacentral:rRNA from 1 species
GAGUUUGAUCCUGGCUCAGGACGAACGCUGGCGGCGCGCUUAACACAUGCAAGUCGAGCGAGAAUCAGGACUUCGGUCCUGAGGACAGCGGCGAACGGGUGAGUAACACGUGGGUAAUCUGCCCUCGAUUCUGGGAUAGCCCGGGGAAACCCGGAUUAAUACCGGAUAGCCUUUUGAGCUCUCGGGCUUGAAAGAAAAGGUAGCUUCGGCCUCCGAUCGAGGAUGAGCCCGCGGUGGAUUAGCUUGUUGGUGGGGUAAUGGCCUACCAAGGCGACGAUCCAUAGCUGGUCUGAGAGGACGAUCAGCCACACUGGGACUGAGACACGGCCCAGACUCCUACGGGAGGCAGCAGUGGGGAAUAUUGGACAAUGGGCGCAAGCCUGAUCCAGCCAUGCCGCGUGAGUGACGAAGGCCUUAGGGUUGUAAAGCUCUUUUGGCGGGGAAGAUAAUGACGGUACCCGCAGAAUAAGCUCCGGCUAACUUCGUGCCAGCCGCCGCCGUAAU